rnacentral:rRNA from 1 species
AGGACGAACGCUGGCGGCGUGCUUAACACAUGCAAGUCGAGCGGAAAGGCCCUUUCGGGGGUACUCGAGUGGCGAACGGGUGAGUAACACGUGGGUGAUCUGCCCUGCACUUCGGGAUAAGCUUGGGAAACUGGGUCUAAUACCGGAUAGGACUACGGACUUCAUGGUUUGUGGUGGAAAGCUUUUGCGGUGUGGGAUGGGCCCGCGGCCUAUCAGCUUGUUGGUGGGGUGAUGGCCUACCAAGGCGACGACGGGUA